rnacentral:ncRNA from 1 species
CAUACGCAACGCGGGAGCUCGCGCCAUGGCGGGCUGAGAGGGCGGCUCAACGGUGUCGCCGACCGCAGAACCUGUUCGGGUAAUUCCGACGUAGGGAGGCAUGCCAUGACGG